rnacentral:rRNA from 1 species
AUUGAACGCUGGCGGCAGGCCUAACACAUGCAAGUCGAGCGGAGCUGCGGACGGGUGAGUAUUGCCUAUGAAUCUGCCUGGUAGUGGGGGAUAACGUCCGGUACCGGGCCCUAAUACCGCAUUCUAUCAGCUGACCCUAGGUCGGAUUAGUUAGUUGGUGGGGUAAAGGCCUACAAAGGCGACGAUCCGUAACUGGUCUGAGAGGAUGAUCAGUAAAACUGGAACUGAGACACGGUCCAGACUCCUACGGGAGGCAGCAGUGGGGAAUAUUGGACAAUGGUCGAAAGCCUGAUCCAGCCAUGCCGCGUGUGUGAAGAAGGUCUUCGGAUUGUAAAGCACUUUAAGUUGGGAGGCGGUAGCAAAAGAAAAAGCAACGGCUAACUUCGUGCCAGCAGCCGCGGUAAUAG